rnacentral:rRNA from 1 species
GUCCCGCCUGCCCAGUGAUAUAUUUUUAACGGCCGCGGUAUUCUAACCGUGCAAAGGUAGCGUAAUCACUUGUCUUCUAAAUAAAGACCAGUAUGAACGGCUAAAUGAGGGCAGACCUGUCUCCUAUAACAAAUCAGUGAAACUGAUCUACCAGUACAAAAGCUGGAAUAAACACAUAAGACGAGAAGACCCUGUGGAGCUUAAAACAAACGGUCAACAAUCAACUAGAACACCCCCCGCAAUGACCAAGCGUUUUAAGUUGGGGCGACUUCGGAAAAAAACAAAACUUCCGAGAAAAAGGCCACUAACCCACCCCAAGGACUACAGCCCAAAGCA